rnacentral:rRNA from 1 species
UACGAAGGGGGCUAGCGUUGCUCGGAAUCACUGGGCGUAAAGGGUGCGUAGGCGGGUUUCUAAGUCAGAGGUGAAAGCCUGGAGCUCAACUCCAGAACUGCCUUUGAUACUGGAAGUCUUGAGUUCGGGAGAGGUGAGUGGAACUGCGAGUGUAGAGGUGAAAUUCGUAGAUAUUCGGAAGAACACCAGUGGCGAAGGCGGCUCACUGGCCCGGUACUGACGCUGAUGUGCGAAAGCGUAGGGAGCAAACAGG